GGUCUUGAGCUCCAGCGCACAGCCCCGGCUUGCUGGACAGCAACCCUCCUUUCGCGGCGGGGUGCUCCGGGUGACGACCAGGCAGCAGCCGACCGGCUGCUCGCAAGCGCGGACC
rnacentral:ncRNA from 2 species